CCUACGGGAGGCUGCAGUGGGGAAUAUUGGACAAUGGGGGGGAACCCUGAUCCAGCCAUGCCGCGUGUGUGAAGAAGGCCCUCGGGUUGUAAAGCACUUUCAGUGAGGAAGAACGCCUGGUGGUUAAUACCCAUCAGGAAAGACAUCACUCACAGAAGAAGCACCGGCUAACUCCGUGCCAGCAGCCGCGGUAAUACGGAGGGUGCGAGCGUUAAUCGGAAUUACUGGGCGUAAAGCGCGCGUAGGUGGCUUGAUAAGCCGGUUGUGAAAGCCCCGGGCUCAACCUGGGAACGGCAUCCGGAACUGUCAAGCUAGAGUGCAGGAGAGGAAGGUAGAAUUCCCGGUGUAGCGGUGAAAUGCGUAGAGAUCGGGAGGAAUACCAGUGGCGAAGGCGGCCUUCUGGACUGACACUGACACUGAGGUGCGAAAGCGUGGGUAGCAAACAGGAUUAGAUACCCUAGUAGUC
rnacentral:rRNA from 1 species